rnacentral:rRNA from 1 species
GAUGGGGACACUGUUGGGACCGCUCUGCUAAAGAGGAGGAAGGAAUGGGCAACGGUAGGUCAGCAUGCCCCGAAUUAUCCGGGCUACACGCGGGCUACAAUGGUCAGGACAAUGGGUAUCGACACCGAGAGGUGGAGGCAAUACUCCUAAACCUGUCCUUAGUUCGGAUUGUGGGCUGCAACUCGCCCACAUGAAGCUGGAAUCCGUAGUAAUCGCGUUUCAAAAUAGCGCGGUGAAUAUGUCCCUGCUCCUU